rnacentral:rRNA from 1 species
AUUCCAGCUCCAAUAGCGUAUAUUAAAGUUGUUGCGGUUAAAAAGCUCGUAGUUGGAUUUCUGCCGAGGAUGACCGGUCCGCCCUCUGGGUGAGUAUCUGGCUCAGCCUUGGCAUCUUCCUGAAGAACGUAGCUGCACUUGACUGUGUGGUGCGGUAUUUAGGACAUUUACUUUGAGGAAAUUAGAGUGUUUCAAGCAAGCGCACGCCUUGAAUACAUUAGCAUGGAAUAAUAAGAUAGGACCUCGGUUCUAUUUUGUUGGUUUCUAGACCUGAAGUAAUGAUUGAUAGGGACAGUUGGGGGUGCUAGUAUUGGCCGGCCAGAGGUGAAAUUCUUGGACUCGGUCAAGACUAACUUAUGCGAAAGCAUUCACCAAGGAUGUCUUCAUCG